rnacentral:rRNA from 1 species
GACGAACGCGGGCGGCGUGCCUAAUACAUGCAAGUAGAACGCUGAAGGAGGAGCUUGCUCUUCUGGAUGAGUUGCGAACGGGUGAGUAAUGCGUAGGUAACCUGCCUGGUAGCGGGGGAUAACUAUUGGAAACGAUAGCUAAUACCGCAUAACAGUAGAUGUUGCAUGACAUUUACUUAAAAGGUGCAAUUGCAUCACUACCAGAUGGACCUGCGUUGUAUUAGCUAGUUGGUGGGGUAACGGCUCACCAAGGCGACGAUACAUAGCCGACCUGAGAGGGUGAUCGGCCACACUGGGACUGAGACACGGCCCAGACUCCUACGGGAGGCAGCAGUAGGGAAUCUUCGGCAAUGGACGGAAGUCUGACCGAGCAACGCCGCGUGAGUGAAGAAGGUUUUCGGAUCGUAAAGCUCUGUUGUAAGAGAAGAACGAGUGUGAGAGUGGAAAGUUCACACUGUGACGGUAUCUUACCAGAAAGGGACGGCUAACUACGUG